rnacentral:antisense_RNA from 1 species
GGAAGCCGCUUCCCCUGCCAGCCGCCAGCCGUUUCCUCUCCCUCGCCGGCCUCGGAGGAGAUUCCAGGCCCUGUAGAGACCAGGACGUUCCUUAGCGCCACCGCCCCACAUGCCAGUGCUGCCGGGAACCCAGCGAUAUCCGCACCAGCGGAGAAGGUUCCAGGCUGCCGGCGGCGGCGCGGAGAGCGGGAAGAGAGGAGCGGAGGAAGCCCCGGGCGUGGCGCGGUCAGGCUCCGAGAGCGGCCGGGAUGCGGCCACAUCGGCCUGGUAAACUCGUACCGCUUAGGAUCUUGCUCCCGAACUCAUUCCCUUCCCCACCCCCCAUUUUAAAGUUUUAUUUGGGUCGUCUGUGUCAAUUUAGAACGAGAUAAAUUAAGACAAAGAAAGUAAAAUAAAUCGAAAUAAAAUAAAGGAAUAGCUCUUGGCGAAAA